UUCCGGUUGAUCCUGCCGGAGGUCACUGCUAUUGGGAUUCGACUAAGCCAUGCGAGUCGUGAGGGUUCGGCCCUCGGCUGACGGCUCAGUAACACGCGGAUAAUCUGCCCUUGGGUGGAGGAUAAUCUCGGGAAACUGAGAAUAAUACUCCAUAAGUCUAGGAUGCUGGAAUGCACUUAGACUAAAAACUUCGGUGCCCAAGGAUGAGUCUGCGGACUAUCAGGUUGUAGUCAGGGUAACGACCUGACUAGCCUACGACGGAUACGGGUUGUGAGAGCAAUAACCCGGAGAUGAUAUCUGAGACACGAUAUCAGGCCCUACGGGGCGCAGCAGGCGCGAAAACUUCGCAAUGUGCGAAAGCACGACGAGGGAAUCCCAAGUGCUGGCUCGUUAGAGUCAGCUGUUUUUAUGUCUAAAAAGCAUAGAGAGUAAGAGCUGGGUAAGACGGGUGCCAGCCGCCGCGGUAAUACCUGCAGCUCAAGUGGUGGCCGCUAUUAUUGGGCCUAAAACGUCCGUAGCCUGUUUAUUAAAUGCCUAGGUAAAUUGUGUGGCUUAACCAUACGAAUUCUGGGUAGACUGAUAAACUUGAGACCGGGAGAAGCUAGAGGUACUCCUGGGGUAGAGGUGAAAUUCUGUAAUCCUAGGGGGACCACCAGUGGCGAAGGCGUCUAGCUAGAACGGGUUUGACGGUGAGGAACGAAGCCCUGGGGCGCAAACGGGAUUAGAUACCCCGGUAGUCCAGGGUGUAAACGCUGCUUGCUUGAUGUUGGUUGGGCUCCGAGCCCAAUCAGUGUCGGAGAGAAGUUGUUAAGCAAGCUGCCUGGGAAGUACGGCCGCAAGACUGAAACUUAAAGGAAUUGGCGGGGGAGCACCGCAACGGGAGGAGCGUGCGGUUUAAUUGGAUUCAACGCCGGG
rnacentral:rRNA from 1 species